rnacentral:rRNA from 1 species
AGAGUUUGAUCCUGGCUCAGAGCGAACGCUGGCGGCAGGCCUAACACAUGCAAGUCGAGCGGUCGUAGCAAUACGGCAGCGGCAGACGGGAGAGUAACACGUGGGAACGCGCCCUUCGGUUCGGAAUAACUCAGGGAAACUUGGGCUAAUACCGGAUACGCCCUUACGGGGAAAGAUUUAUUGCCGAAGGAACGGCCCGCGUCCGAUUAGCUUGUUGGUGAGGUAAUGGCUCACCAAGGCGACGAUCGGUAGCUGGUCUGAGAGGAUGACCAGCCUCACUGGGACUGAGACACGGCCCAGACUCCUACGGGAGGCAGCAGUGGGGAAUACUGGACAAUGGGCGCAAGCCUGAUCCAGCCAUGCCGCGUGGGUGAUGAAGGCCCUAGGGUUGUAAAGCCCCUUUCGGCGGGGAAGAUAAUGACGGUACCCGCAGAAGAAGCCCCGGCUAACUUCGUGCCAGCAGCCGCGGUA